ncrna:Burkholderia pseudomallei 406e radC RNA
ACGCUUGGCCCAUGUUCCGCUGCUCCGUCAGCGACAUGCCCAGGUCUCCACGAUCUUCAAGGCGACGCCGGAGGUUUCCACUCCGUUGAUCGAUCCCGUUCGCUUUCGGCAUCCACGCGCGAACGACCAUCGGUUUCGAUGGUGAUGC